rnacentral:misc_RNA from 1 species
UUCAUGCCAGCAUCUGUUGUCA